CUUGUGUGUGUGUGUAUACUAUUCUCUGCUGGCGAAUCAUCCAAUCAAUAAAGCACAAUAUGAAGAAGUAUAUAACCUUCGAAGGUCAAAAGUAAAAAACGAGCUUGACUCCUCCUACUUUGGCUUUUUCUGCGUUUCUAUUGUUCAGAAAUAAGAAGAAAAUAUUUCAAAUUGAUCAAAUGAUGGUUAUAUUCUUGGGGUAAAUAAUAUAAGAGGCAAGCCCUCCUCCUAGCCCCCCCCCCUCUCCUCACACAGGUUAACAUGUAAUUUCAUCAAAACAAAAAAAUUUUGUUUUUUUCCCCAAACAAGGGAGGGUUUAAUUUAAAUACUUUCGAAAAAAAUUUUUAUUAUUGUUAUGUUUUUUCUUGUAGCU